CCGGGUGGUCAAUGCUGUCUACACCGCGGCUCCCGUCUGCCGCUGGACAGGAUGCUGACUCCUGACUCCUCGACUGGCGUGGAAAUGCUGCCUAGGCCUAGAUGUUAAAAUAAGCUACCACAAGCUCUGUAAGAAGCAAUAGCAAUGACUGAAUUUUACCCCAGAGCACAGCCCGCAGCUGAUCCGUCAGGAAUUCAUGGGGUGAUCCCAAGGUGGAGCAGAGGACCGGUGUCCAUGGAUGGCCACAGGGCAGCUCAGCCCAGCUCCUGGGAAAGUUCUCCCAGAGAGUGCUGCCGCCUGGGGUCUUGUUAUUCCUUUGUUGACUUAGGUGUUUCCUCUGGAGUUUGAGGGUGGUCGCUUCGGGGGCAGCCCCUCAUUGUGUUCACUACGGAAGGUGGCCCCAGGCACUCCGGCGUCUUCUCUGAAGGGGUGUCCACGCGAGGCCCGUGGACAAGCUGUUGGUCCGGCAGAGCCACGUCGGCUCACUGUUUCCCCCUGUGGUCUGGAUUCCUGUAGGAACCUUUGACUCUUCUCAUGCUUUUCCACCUUAUUUACUUGGGGAAGAAGUACAGAACACAUGAAUAUUCUGAACUGUUUCCAGAAUGAUUACACUCGCUGGCGGGCGAUCCUUUCACGUUUCUACCACAUGGAACGCCAUCUGGUCACCGCCUCCCCCCCCCACCGCCGCCCACUGUGGCCUUUUUGGGGGCGAUCAGGAGGGGAGCACAGAGACCGUGUACAUUUCAACACAGCAAAUUUGAUUCCAACAAGGGAAGGGCCAAGGGCCUCCGGACCUUCUACGAUUGCCUCUUUAUUUUUCUGGACCAUGCUGAAGUCGGCCUGGCCACAUUUCUGUUCUCUGGUGCUGUGGGCUGGUUGGCGCUGGCCCUGGUCAGAAGGAGAACAGAAAAAUCCUCGGGGAAAGUACAGGAUGUGACAGAAAACGGAGCUGGUGAAUCAGGGACCCUCCCUCGUGGGGCCGAGGACGAGCUACAGACGGAGCCAAGCAAACCAGCAGAUAAGAGAAUGUGAAACCAGACUGAGCUGCGCUCCCGCUCUCAGCCGCCCCGCCAGGCUGUGGAUUUCAUGAGAACAGGCUCUCUCUUGAGAUACUGGAAACUCCCACCGAGCGGCUGUGUCCAUGCUCUGCGGCGUGUCGGCAUCAAUCCCACGACUGUUGGCCACGUUAGGAGGUGGUGGUCCAUGGCAACAGCACCAGACUCCGUCAGCCUCGGCCUCCCAGGCACUCGAUCAUCCCAUCCAGAGCCUUCUGAAAGGAGAGCUUCCAUCAGGGGCCCCUGGCGUGAAUGGGGACCAUCUCCAGCCAGUCAGAGCUGCAUGGGGCAUCGGCACCCAGAAAGCACCCCAUGAACGUCACCUCUGGCUCUGUCCUCCUGUUCCCAAUGCCGGGUCCUUCUGGACACCUUACAGCUACCAAAGUUGUUUUGCUCUGGCGGGUGACACAAAGAGGGAGGACUGCUGUUAUUUCUGGGAGCAGAGGUCCAUCAGCCCUGGAAUGUAGAAAUAUCCCAUUUUAUUUCUGUGUCGCAGAUGUGGUGCUGGACACCCCACGGGUGUGUGUGGGGGUUGCUAGCUGUUUCAGGGGCACUUCCCAGCCGGUGCACCCGCGGGGGGCCAGCGCGGCCCCUGUCCUCCUCCAGGCUCCACCGUGAGGCUCUCUCCACCACCAUCUUUGAAACCACCCGUCCUUUUCAGGAAAAAGGAAAAAAAAAAUCAAACCAGCAAAA